UAGGGAAUCUUCCACAAUGGGCGAAAGCCUGAUGGAGCAACGCCGCGUGUGUGAUGAAGGGUUUCGGCUCGUAAAACACUGUUGUAAGAGAAGAAUGACAUUGAGAGUAACUGUUCAAUGUGUGACGGUAUCUUACAGAAAGGAACGGCUAAAUACGUGCCAG
rnacentral:rRNA from 1 species